AGGGUGUAAACGCUGCAGACUUGGUGUUGGGAACCCUUCGGGGGUGCUCAGUGCCGGAGAGAAGUUGUUAAGUCUGCUACUUGGGGAGUACGUCCGCAAGGAUGAAACUUAAAGGAAUUGGCGGGGGAGCACCGCAACGGGAGGAGCGUGCGGUUUAAUUGGAUUCAACACCGUAAAACUCACCAGGGAAGACUGUUACAUGAAGGCCGAGAUGAAGACUCUGCUAGAUUUUCAGAGAGGUGGUGCAUGGCGUCAGUGACU
rnacentral:rRNA from 1 species